rnacentral:rRNA from 1 species
GACGAACGCUGGCGGCGUGCCUAAUACAUGCAAGUUGAGCGAUGAAGAUUGGUGCUUGCUCCAAUUUGAAGAGCAGCGAACGGGUGAGUAACGCGUGGGGAAUCUGCCUUUGAGCGGGGGACAACAUUUGGAAACGAAUGCUAAUACCGCAUAAUAACUUUAAACAUAAGUUUUAAGUUUGAAAGAUGCAAUUGCAUCACUCAAAGAUGAUCCCGCGUUGUAUUAGCUAGUUGGUGAGGUAAAGGCUCACCAAGGCGAUGAUACAUAGCCGACCUGAGAGGGUGGUCGGCCACAAUGGGACUGAGACACGGCCCAAACUCCUACGGGGGGCAGCAGUAGGGGAUCUUCGGCAAUGGACGAAAGUCUGACCGAGCAACGCCGCGUGAGUGAAGAAGGGUUUCGGAUCGUAAAACUCUGUUGGUAGAGAAGAACGUUAGUGAGAGUGGAAAGCUCAUCAAGUGACGGUAACUACCCAGAAAGGGACGGCUAACUACGUG